UACGUGUCCAGCACUGUGUUAUGUGUGAUCAAAGGCAUGAUAGAAUCUAAAGGCAAUUCUCAAGAGUCCUUGUCUUUAAGUGGGAUGGCAACAAGAUGUCUACCCUCUACCAAUCUGUUAUUUAUUUGGAACUAAUUGUUAAAUCACCCUUAUUCUCCACUUUUCCAGGCUAAUAUUUCUUUAAAGUUUUUAGCUUUUAAAGUAAUUCUUAAUAUUCGGUUCUGUCAGUUCUUACAAUUCUUACUUACAAACAUAUGCCUUUUAAUAGCUUUAACCUAGUGCCCUUAAUAUUUUUCAAAGGCACCUGAGAAAAGUAUAAGAAAAAAUUUAAAUUCAUUUUAUUCUAAUUUUUGAAGUAGAGAGGAGGUUUUCGGUUCCACUGUGGCAUUCUAUAUAAUGUCAAUCAACCAAACAAAAAGCAAAGCAAACAAACACCAACCCAGCUCUUCAUGUAUUGGUAUUAAAUAGAUAUAAUAGCGGGGCUGGACGUGGUAGCUCAGACCCAUAAUCCCAACACUUUGGGAGGCCGAUGCAGGUGGAUCACUUGAGGCCACAAGUUCGAGACCAACCUGGCCAACAUGGUGAAAUGUUGUCUCUACUAAAAAUACAAAAAUUAGCCGGGUAUGGUGGCCUGCGCCUGUAAUCCCAGCUACUUGAGAGGCUGAGGCAGGAGAAUCACUUAAACACGGUAGGCCAAGGUUGCAGUGAGCCAAGAUGGUGCCACUGCA
rnacentral:lncRNA from 10 species